GCUCUUCGCAAAUUACGUCAUGCAUUCUCUUGCCUAAAAAAGGAAAACGCUGGAUCGGAGUCGUGAAGUGAGGAUUUCAGAGAGCAAUGAAUUAUUGCGCCGCAUCAUGUUGGACAGUAACAAAAGAAAAUGGCGGCCGAUGCUUCAGUUACUCCAGCCAUCUUGAAGUCGUAAAUUCACAUGAGAAAAAAGUACACGUAUCCAUGAAGUGCUGCAAAAGCUUAUAAUAUAGAUUUCUUUAAAGGCCACAAGUGUGUUACUAAUUGCUGGAAACCACACAGUAUACAUAGGGAAAAAGUUAUUUCUAUAAACACUGCUUUAAAGAGUGUAAUAACUAGAAAUGGUAUAGCUUGACAAAAAUACUUCUAUCAGAAACUAUUGAAUAAGGAAGUUUUCAAAAUGAAUCUUAAUUUUUAAAAAUGUAAUUGCUGUGAAUCCGUUUAAUGAUGUAGAGCAGAAAAUAGCAAUGCCAGUUGACCACUUAAUUGAUAUACAGAUGAAUACAGAACCAAACAAAACAUUUUUAUAUUUUUUUGGCUCUUUGUAAAGAAAAAAUAUAUAAAUGAUGGAGGCUCUCA